AGGAGCUAGAUAACCAAAUGUUCCUGCAACAGUUGUUGUAAUGUGUGAUUCUUCAUCCUCUAACAGUUUGGCAAGUCCAAAGUCAGAUACACGGGCCUCCAAAUUGGCAUCAAGCAAAAUGUUGCUUGACUUUAUGUCACGGUGUAUGAUCCUAGGGGAACAGUCAUGAUGCAGGUAGGCCAGUCCUUUUGCUGCUCCCAUAAUGAUAUUCAGACGUGCAUCCCAGUCCAGUUGCUCAGAUCUUUCUGCACAAGUCAUCAUAACAAGUUAUCGUUUCUCUUUAUUUUUUCCCUUCAUGAAGCAAAUUUAAAGAAAGCAUAAAGGAGGACAUUGUUCAAGUCAAAAGGGAAAAUUUAUAACCAAAACAAAACCUAAAAACUACUUCGAACCUAACCCACACCUUUACUCAAUCAGCCAAUGCCUAGAGCAGAAUGUGCCCAAGAAUUUCAAUAUUACCAACUUUCCCAAUCAACAUAGAUUGAGAUCUGGAUCACCACAAUAAUACUCUCUCAUGCUCUUGCCAAAGAUAACAGUAGCCACAACAAAAACUAUACUAGCAACAGCAAGCCUGAGGGGCUCAUAUAUCACAAUCGCAUCAUAUCAUCUGAGCAUGUGAAAUCAAACAAAAGGGAGCAUCAAAUGGGAUGAGGAUCAAUCAAUAAAUCAAAUCAUUAAAUAUUUCAUAGUUUAUAGGGCUUAAAUGUAGAAACAAACCACCAUGAAGAACAGAAAAUAGCUGAUGCAAAUAAUGCUAGAGCUAUUUUGCUAAAAAUUGCCAUGGGCAAUACUUCCAUGAGUCGGCUACCACAGCCCUUUAGUUGAGAGCACCAGAACUUUGCAAGUGCAAGAUUGCAUGGAAGCUGUCACACAUUAGCCAAUGCUAAGGACAGAAUGUGCCCAAGAAUUUCAGUGAUGCCAUUUCCUUUUCUUUUCCAAUCAAAAUGGAUUAAGAAGUUAAUCAGCAAGAGAAUAAUGAAAUAGAUUUAACAAGAGAAAUAGAGAAAAAUGAAAACGAGAGAACUAAGAUAUCUCAAAGGACUGAUUUUCUAGUUAUACAACUAUCAAAAACUACCAGCAGUAAGCUAUAGAAUUAAUUUAUGAAAUGAGACUGUAAAAUGAGUGUUACAGCCCCGUAUACAGAAUCCUAAUAGAAUUCGGUCUUGAUCAAAAUAAGAUUGGAAUCCUGAUUUUAAAACUGCUACAGUUUGUGAACAGGGAUGCAAUACAAUAACCCAAACAAUAAAAAAUUAUAAUAUUUUGUUGGUGCAUCACUAGGUCAUGCUCUUUCCAAAGACAACAGCAGCCAUAGAAAAAGACGUAACCCUAAGACCUAUGAGUUCAUAGAUCAUAAUCACAUGACGACAUCUAAGCAGAUAAGGUUCAGUCCAUAGUUAUUAACGGCGCACCUCAAGCUCCAGGCUCCAACCCUUGAGCCUCUAUAGAAAAAAAGGCGGGCAACAUUCACCAAGCCCUCCCCUUAUGCACCUAAGUGUGCGCCUUGCUUCAGGUGCAAGGCUCUAGAAAGGCACGCCUUCUUUAUUUCCACCUUCUGCGAGCACUUCCAUUAACAAAAAGCACUAC
rnacentral:misc_RNA from 1 species